rnacentral:pre_miRNA from 1 species
AAGGUACUCCCUCCGUUCGGAAUUACUUAUCUCGAAAAUAGAUGUAUCUAGAUGUAUUUUAAUUCUAGAUACAUUCAUUUUCGAGACAAGUAAUUCCGAAUGGAGGAAGUAGUAU